UACGGGGGGGGCAAGCGUUGUUCGGAAUUACUGGGCGUAAAGGGUUGGUAGGUGGCUUGUUAAGUCAGACGUGAAAUCCCUCAGCUUAACUGGGGAACUGCGUCUGAUACUGGUGAGCUUGAGUGCAGGAGAGGAACGCGGAAUUCCAGGUGUAGCGGUGAAAUGCGUAGAUAUCUGGAGGAACACCGGUGGCGAAGGCGGCGUUCUGGACUGCAACUGACACUGAACAACGAAAGCCAGGGUAGCAAACGGG
rnacentral:rRNA from 1 species